AUUGAACGCUGGCGGCAUGCUUUACACAUGCAAGUCGAACGGUAACAGGCCGCAAGGUGCUGACGAGUGGCGAACGGGUGAGUAAUGCAUCGGAACGUGCCCAGUCGUGGGGGAUAACGCAGCGAAAGCUGCGCUAAUACCGCAUACGAUCUCUGGAUGAAAGCGGGGGACCGAAAGGCCUCGCGCGAUUGGAGCGGCCGAUGUCAGAUUAGGUAGUUGGUGGGGUAAAGGCCCACCAAGCCAACGAUCUGUAGCUGGUCUGAGAGGACGACCAGCCACACUGGGAGUGAGAAACGGCCCAGACUCCUACGGGAGGCAGCAGUGGGGAAUUUUGGACAAUGGGCGCAAGCCUGAUCCAGCAAUGCCGCGUGCAGGAAGAAGGCCUUCGGGUUGUAAACUGCUUUUGUACGGAACGAAACGGUCCGGGUUAAUACCCUGGGCUAAUGACGGUACCGUAAGAAUAAGCACCGGCUAACUACGUGCCAGCAGCCGCGGUAACAC
rnacentral:rRNA from 1 species